ACUGCCCCUUAAAGGCAGAUGUAAAGAAGGCAUCGAGGAACUCAGCCUUCUCCUCCUCAGAGAAUCCCAGCCUUCUCCUCAGUGAUCACGUUCCCCGCUGCAUCAAGUAAAGGUUUCAAGAGGAUCAUUCCAACAACGACACACUAUAAAAGCAGGCUUCUAUCUAAGAAAAUGAUUUGCUGCAAACUCUCUGCUUCGUACCUGCAAACAGGCUUGUUGUGGUAGCAGGUUGGUGCCUCCUCCAACAGUCCCUAUUUCUAUAGAUGGCAUUGUACAGCUGAUAUACAGGUCUUCAUUGGUGGAGCCAGUACGCUCCAUCAGAGUGAUGCAGUUGGAGCUGCCCACAUUCUGCGCAGCAUCCUUUAGGUCAAGAAGGAGAAAAGGAAAAAUAAAAUAAUAAUAAAAAAAAGAACAAAAAAAAACCACCCACAAACACGCUCAAAGAAGUGCUCGUUUAAGGAUUACAAACUAUAGAAAAGCUGGUUUGGUGUAAAACAAACUUACCUGACCACAGGCAAUGUAGAUAGCUGUAACGAUGUUUGCAGCGUGUGCAUUGUAGCCACCUACGCUACCAGCCAUAGCAGAGCCCACCAGGUUUUUGUUUAUGUUCACUUCAACUAUAUCUUCCGUAGUUGUCUUCAGGACCUGAAGAAAGUGAUACGCCAUUCCUUUAGCAGGUGAAGAAAUACUCUAUUUCACGUUCGUAAGUUUUUUUCCAGAUAUGCACUAAGUGCUUAACAGUGAUGAAAAUACAAAGCCAAACCAAAAGAUAGAAUCAGACCAUGCACAUUUGAGCACUGUGUCUAACUCUGUUCCCAUCGUCAAAUUAAAUCAUCAAAAGAGGCAGUUCCUCACAAGAGGUGUAGCCACUCUGGGGACUUCCACUGGUGAGUCUGUGAUAGAAGCUAGGACGGGCACUGUUUAUAAAGGCUCCCCUUCAUCAGACAAGAAGCUAAGGCAGCUUUGGAAUUAAGUGAAACCUCUUAAUUAUCAGUGCUCCCUGUAGUCACUACAGGAGCAUCUAGACUUCAAAGAGAAUGCCAAGUUUGUGCAAGAGAUAGGAAAUAAGUGAAAAUGACCAAAAUUACUGAUUUCAUUUUAAAAGAUAUCAAGUUCUGGCAUAAUCUUCAAAAGGAAAAGAGUAAAAAUCCAAAUGCCUUCAAGUAGACAUUCAUCAUUAAGUAUAUAACAUUUAUAAUCUUAGAAAAGACAGUGAAAGCAAAAAAUAUAUAUACACCGUUAAGAGGUUCGCAGGAAAAGCAAUAAAUGGUACAGUGUUAGUAUAAAAAUACUUGUAGGAAUCAUCCCUACAUGGAGCAAAGCUAACAGUAUUUAUGAUUUAACUACAUAAAAUGCAUAUAUUUUUAUGAACAGAUUACAAUAAAGCAGACACUUACUUCUUUAACAACCUUGGCUGGAAUGACUGCUUCACAGACAACAGACUUCCCUCUUCCCUCUAUCCAAUUUAUAGCAGCAGGCUUUUUGUCCGUACAGUAGUUACCGCUGAUAGCUAUAACCUGGAGAUCAGGAAACUCUUCAUUCAACCUUGCCAGUGCUUUUUCAGUACCCUGUUAAAACAAAAGAAGAUACCAUUAAUGGCUGACGUAUCAAUUAUGGUUGUAAAGUAAAAGUAAGCUACUUAAGGACAGUACAACAGCACAACUGGAUCAAGCCUUGUCAGAUCACUAAUUACAGAUGAAAAAAUGAGAGAUUCCCAGGAAGAAUCUUACACAGGCACAAAUGGUAGCAUGAUCACCAUCCUUUCUGUAAUGUACUAGGAAUUACACAGAAGUAUUUAAUAAACAGCACUGAUUCCUUGUCAAUGCUUAAUGAUUCUCUGGAGACAUUCUAGGCUAACAUUUGCUAUACUGAAGAUUCAACACAAACUAAAUCAUAUAAUCAAAGUGACAGACGUGCAGGGAAUUCAUUUGGGAAGCCAGAAGACAGUUGCUGCUCAGGGCUUGGCAUCAAUCAGCUGUUGUGGUGGUGAGCCAUUGUGUUGUACAUCACUUGCUUUGCAAAUAUAAAUGCAUUUUCAUAGUCGCUAUUAUUUCUCCCUUUUCUGCCUUAGUAAAUUAGUUUCUACCUCUAUCUGUGAGGCUUUUUUUCCUCCCCUUCCACUGUGAGGAGGGGGGUGAGCAGGUGGCUGUGUGGUGUUUAGCUGCCUGCUGAAUUAAACUACAAACCAUUUCUACAGUUUUCACACAUGAAAAACAGAAAAAUUUUUAAAAAUUAUGCUGCCCUUCUGCCACUCACCAGAUCCAUCAUUCUUUACUUACAAACAUGAUAAACAGUCACACAUUAAUUACUACUGGAUAAAAUCUUUGGCCUAACACAGCAGAGCACGCAGUUAAAUUCUGUAUUAUCCAGAAUACCCUAUUUUUAACAAAAAAGUAGAACUGAAGUUACUCUAAUGUUUUUUUCUUUCACUGUUUUCACUGUAUUCUUGUUUAUGUUCUCUGAGUUCAAGCCAUGUUCUUAUUUAAUUGCACUGCAAAAAGCCAUGCAUCUUGUAUUUCUUUCUGUUUUCACAUAUUAGUAGGAUACAACUGUUUUAAUUCUAAUUAUUUUUAAAAUAAAUACACAUUUAUUAUGAAGAUUUAUACGAACUGAGCCUUACUUUUGAAAUCAUAUUCAUUCCCAUCGCAUCCCCUGUUUUG